CCCUUAGAUGUUCUGGGCCGCACGCGUGCUACACUGAGUGGAUCAGCGGGUCAGGUUGCGCGAAAGCGUUUCCUAAUCUUUAAAUCCGCUCGUGAUGGGGAUUGACGGUUGCAAUUUUCUGUCAUGAACGAGGAAUACCUUGUAAGCGCGGGUCAUCAUCCCGCGCUGAAUACGUCCCUGCCCUUUGUACACACCGCCCGUCGCUCCUACCGAUUGAUUGAUCCGUGAAUUACAUAGAAUUUUGCGUUUUACAUGACGGAAGAUGAAGUGUUUUAAACCUUAUCAUUUAGAGGAAGGAGAAGUCGUAACA
rnacentral:rRNA from 1 species